rnacentral:tRNA from 1 species
GAGGGUAUAGCUCAAGUGGUAGAGUACAUGCUUAGCAUGCAUGAGGUCCUAGGUUCAAUCCCCAGUAUCUCCA